AGAAACACAAUGGCCAACACAUGUGAAGGCAAACACAUUCUACAUUUCAGUCUGGUUUUGGCUCUGUUUAGCAAAUGUGUAUCUGGAUGUGAAGGUGGUGAUAAAAGUGUUCAGUGUCUCUGGAUAUCAGAAUACGCUCAAACAGUGGUGCAGAAUUAAAGAUGGGAGCUGGUUCACAGUGGGGAGGACUGAAACAUCCCAGAAAUCAUCAGUCCAGAUCAGUGAUGAUGACUGGACUGAGACUGACUGAUUCUGGCUGGUACUUCUGCUCUGCUGGAGAGGCACUGAAUCCUGUUCAUCUCACUGUAACUGAGAACCAGAAUUGAAACCGUGAUUUUCAAAAAACAUAAUAAUGAAACAAAAGACACAGAGGAGCCACAAAAGUACUACACAUGUAUUGUUAUAAUAAAAUAUUUAAGGCUUAGAAUCCAAUUCUAAAACCUUUGAAAUACAUUAAACAGAAGGGCUUUCCACGCUUGAAAUAUUUAAUCAUGAGUCAUUAAACACUGGACGAUCUGAAUCAUUGGUUAUCUUGUAAGA